rnacentral:rRNA from 1 species
AGUGAACGCUGGCGGUAGGCCUAACACAUGCAAGUCGAACGGCAGCACAGUAAGGGCUUGCUCUUACGGGUGGCGAGUGGCGGACGGGUGAGGAAUACAUCGGAAUCUACUUUUUCGUGGGGGAUAACGUAGGGAAACUUACGCUAAUACCGCAUACGACCUACGGGUGAAAGCAGGGGAUCUUCGGACCUUUCGCGAUUGAAUGAGCCGAUGUCGGAUUAGCUAGUUGGCGGGGUAAAGGCCCACCAAGGCGACGAUCCGUAGCUGGUCUGAGAGGAUGAUCAGCCACACUGGAACUGAGGCACGGUCCAGACUCCUACGGGAGGAAGCAGUGGGGAAUAUUGGACAAUGGGCGAAAGCCUGAUCCAGCAAUACCGAGUGGGUGAAGAAGGCCUUCGGGUUGUAAAGCCCUUUUGUUGGGAAAGAAAAGCAGCAGGUUAAUACCCCGCUGUUCUGACGGUACCCAAAGAAUAAGCACCGGCUAACUUCGUG